rnacentral:rRNA from 1 species
GACGAACCGUGCGAACGUUGUUCGGAAUCACUGGGCUUAAAGGGCGCGUAGGCGGGCAUCCAAGUCAGUGGUGAAAUCCUCCGGCCUAACCGGAGAAGAGCUGUUGAUACUGGGUGCCUCGAGUGGUGCAGGGGUCUGCGGAACUUCCGGUGGAGCGGUGAAAUGCGUAGAGAUCGGAAGGAACGCCGGUGGCGAAAGCGGCGGACUGGGCACCUCCUGACGCUGAGGCGC